CUACAGUAGGGUGUACAGUAGGCCUGGUCGUUUCUACAGUAGGGUGUACUAUUACUUAGGGUUACACUAUCAAAAAGCGUGUGUGUGCGUUCUGUUUAUCUGUGUGACGUGAUCAAUCUGUUUAUUCCAGUUCAGAAUGAAAAUGAUUGCAUUUUAACAGCAACCGUUCCAUCCUAGACAGAUAUGGAAGAGUGUUUCUAAUGGGGGAAUGUAAACAUUAAUAUAUAUUUAUAUGAAUAUUUUAUUUCAUUGUUAUUUGUUUUUGUCUAUAUUGCAUUUGUUUAGCCAUAAGGGCAAUGAAAUGUACCGAUAUUUACAUAUAGUUUCAUAUUUUCCUAAACUUGGGUCCCAGGAAAACACAGCCUUUAUAAUUUGUGUCCCAGGCUGAAAAAGUUGAAGAACCCCUGUUUUAAAUAUUAUUAUUUAUUUUUUUGAGAUUACUAAUGUUACUGUCCCCAACACACACACAAAAAAUAACUGUAACUUUGUCCUUGAAACAUUUAAUUGAAAUACUGUAGAAUUCCUAACAUUUCUUAUAGCUGAGUUGGUUGUUUAGCAACAAAAACCGAGUCACGCACAACAGACGGUUUGGAUUAGAUUGACAACAUGUAGGCCUAAACGAUAUUUAGUCUCCGAAAUGUUUAUUGAAAACAUAAAUACAUUUGCACAAUGACUCUCAAUGUCUCUCAAAUACAUCGUUAAUACUGUCAACAACAAGACGUGUUAUCAAGAACAAGAUUUAGUUUUAAAUUAUCUAAAUUAUCAUGUUAUCAAGAAUAUGUUUUUAUCUAAAAAGAGCCACCUAUGAUUCCCCACAUGACAGCUCUAGUCAUUGUUGCUAGCUGACAGCUCUAGUCAUUGUUGCUAGCUGACAGCUCUAGUCAUUGUUGCUAGCUGACAGCUCUAGUCAUUGUUGCUAGCUGACAGCUCUAGUCAUUGUUGCUAGCUAUCUGGUCGUUCAGCGUCAUAUAGCUCGGCUUCUGGCAACGUUGUCAGCCAACACGUCUGUGGAGGAUUGCUCCUAUUGGGGAGUGUCAAUAUGGCCAACCGGUGGCAUCUCUAUGGCCAAUACAUAGCAUCAGAAAUCCUGGGUUUAAAUACAUUGACUAUACAAAACAUUAGGAACACCUUCCUAAUAUUGAGUCUCCCCCCCCCUCCUUUGCCACUCAAGGUGUUGAAAGCAUUCCACAGGGAUGCUGGCCCAUGUUGACUCUACAAGGUAUUUAAAGCAUUCCACGGGGAUGCUGGUUCAUGUUGACUCCAAGGCUUCCCACAGUUGUGUCAUGUUGGCUGGAUGUCCAUUGGGUGGUGGACCAUUCUUGAUAAACACGGGAAACUGUUGAGCGUGAAAAACCCAGCAGCAUUGUAGUUCUUGACACACACAAACCGGUGCGCCUGGAACCUACUACCAUACCCCGUUCAAAGGCACUUAAAUCCUUUGUCUUGUCCGUUCACCCUCUGGAUGGCACACAUACACAAUCCAUGUCUCCAUUGUCUCAGGGCUUAAAAACCCUUCUUUAACCCGUCUCCUCCCCUUCAUCUUUAACCUGGUCUCCUCCCCUUCAUCUUUA
ensembl:lncRNA